rnacentral:rRNA from 1 species
CACCAGCCCCUCGAGUGGUGGGGAUGAUUAUUUGGCCUAAAGCGUCCGUAGCCGGCCGGGUAAGUUUCCCGUUAAAUCCAAUGUCUCAAGCAUUGGACUGCGGGAAAUACUGUCUGGCUAGAGAGUGGGAGAGGUGUACGGUAUUCUGGGGGUAGGGGCGAAAUCCUUUGAUCCCCGGAGGACCACCAGUGGCGAAGGCUGUACACUAGAACACGUCUGACGGUCAGGGACGAAAGCUGGGGUAGCGAACCGGAUUAGAUACCCGGGUAGUCCCAGCUGUAAACGAUGCAUGCUAGGUGUUGGGUUGGCCACGAGCCACCCCAGUGCCGCAGGGAAGCCGUUAAGCAUGCCGCCUGGGAAGUACGAUCGCAAGAUUGAAACUUAAAGGAAUUGGCGGGGAGCACCACCAGGCGUGAAGCCUGCGGUUU